rnacentral:rRNA from 1 species
UACGAAGGGGGCUAGCGUUGCUCGGAAUUACUGGGCGUAAAGGGCGCGUAGGCGGAUGUCUAAGUUGGGGGUGAAAUCCCGGGGCUCAACCUCGGAGCAGCCUUCAAUACUGGAUAUCUUGAGUUCGGGAGAGGUGAGUGGAAUGCCGAGUGUAGAGGUGAAAUUCGUAGAUAUUCGGCGGAACACCAGUGGCGAAGGCGACUCACUGGCCCGAUACUGACGCUGAGGCGCGAAAGCGUGGGGAGCAAACAGG